UAAUAGAUACCCCGGUAGUCCACACCGUAAACGUUGGCGCUAGGUGUGGGCCUAUUCCAUGGGUUCCGUGCCGCAGCUAACGCAUUAAGCGCCCCGCCUGGGGAGUACGGCCGCAAGGCUAAAACUCAAAGGAAUUGACGGGGGCCCGCACAAGCGGCGGAGCAUGCGGAUUAAUUCGAUGCAACGCGAAGAACCUUACCUGGGUUUGACAUACACCGGAAAGCGCCAGAGAUGGUGCCCCUUUUGUCGGUGUACAGGUGGUGCAAGGCUGUCGUCAGCUCGUGUCGUGAGAUGUUGGGUUAAGUCCCGCAACGAGCGCAACCCUCGUCCUAUGUUGCCAGCACGUUAUGGUGGGGACUCAUAGGAGACUGCCGGGGUCAACUCGGAGGAAGGUGGGGAUGACGUCAAGUCAUCAUGCCCCUUAUGUCCAGGGCUUCACGCAUGCUACAAUGGCCGGUACAAAGGGCUGCGAUGCUGCAAGGCGGAGCGAAUCCCAAAAAGCCGGUCUCAGUUCGGAUUGGGGUCUGCAACUCGACCCC
rnacentral:rRNA from 1 species